rnacentral:rRNA from 1 species
AUGCUUGUCAGAUCUGCCAUGUUCCUGAGCAUUUUACUGUUAGAUGCCCUCAAGCUUUCUGUGAGAGAUGUAAAAAAGAGAGGUCACCUAUCCUUUGUUUGCAAUGAGUUCUUCCCUUGGGAUCACACACCUGUGAUGUGUGCAUUUCAAACUAAGGGUCAGGGUUUCUUUUACAUUCCUGACUACAGCGUGGAUAGGCAGAGCAGGGAAAACAUUUUCAAUAUAGUUGUCACCAUUACUGAGGGCUCGGCUCAGACCAAAGAUAUUGAGCAUGAGUUAAGUGUGUAUGUUGGCCAGGGGUGGCGUUGCUCUGCUAGAUUCUUUGCUCCUCAAAAGUUUGUUAUGAGAAUGCCGAAUCCUAGAGAGGUUGACAGAGCUCUUUUUGUUGAGAAUAUUAAGUUGAAAAAUUGUGGGGUUAGUGUCAAGUUCUCCUGA